UACAGAGGUCUCAAGCGUUGUUCGGAUUCAUUGGGCGUAAAGGGUGCGUAGGCGGCGGAGCAAGUCAGGUGUGAAAUCCCGGGGCUCAACCCUGGAACUGCACUUGAUACUGCUUUGCUAGAGUACUGGAGAGGAGAUUGGAAUUUACGGUGUAGCAGUGAAAUGCGCAGAUAUCAGGAAGAACACCCGUGGCUAAGGCGGCUCUCUAGUACGGUACUGACGCUGAGACGCGAAAGCGUGGGGAGCGAACAGG
rnacentral:rRNA from 1 species